rnacentral:sRNA from 1 species
AUAAGAAGCAAAACCGCAACCUGAUCUUAAAUGCGUAGGUAGUGUUUCCUUGUUAGUAGAUACAAAGCCAAAGAUUCAUACGGACUUUGGCUACACCAUCAAUGCUUUGAGAAGCAAGAAGAAGCUUGGUUAGUGUUUUGGAGUCAAAUAUGAUUUGAUGUCAUGUGUAUGAUUGAAUAUAAAACUAGAACCGCAACCGAAUCUUAAAAGCCUAAGUAGUGUUUCCUUGUUUA